GACAUUGUCUACCGUCCGGAUGU
rnacentral:siRNA from 1 species